UCGGCGACCUCGUCCCCCCCCCCCUCGCCAAAAAAAUUCGGUCAGUGUGCCAUUUUAGGGGUCAAAAAUUUUUUCCGGACAUCCCAAAAGUUUUCGUUGCAUAAAACAAUUUUUCCCGGCAUUACCAAAUUUUCUCCAUUUAUCCAACUUUUUUUUCUUAAAUCCGAAAAUUUGAUACCAUUCUCUAAAAUUUUUGUCAAUUUAGCUCAUUCUUCUCCAAAUUCACACUUAUUUUUGUUAAUUAACUUUCUCUGGGCCUAGAAAUUACUUGAAUUUGUGUUCAUUUACCUGAAUUUCUUCUGCAAAU
rnacentral:lncRNA from 1 species